CCCUAAUUAACGGUGUUACAUCUUAUUAACAAGAAUGUUUUAUGAAAUUCUGGUGUGUAGUUUCAGAGGAGUUAAGAUAACAAACUGUUGCAGUAGUAUACGAAGGCCAAUAAGUUUAAAUAAUCUAUACAAAGUUUCAUGAAAUUAUGUUGGUUUAAGAGGAGUUGCGCUGAAAAACUGUUACUACAAAGUUUCAUGAAAUUCUGUUGUGCGGUUUUAAAGGAGUUGUGAUGACAAACUGUUGCAGUAGUAUACUGAUGUCAAUAAGUUCAAAAGGGCAUAAAUCCUAGAAAAAAAUUUAAUCAUAAUUUCCUGUCGAUAUGCACAUCUACAUAGUAUGUCCUUAUUAUCUACAAAGUUUCAUUAAAUUCGUUUGUUAGGUUUCAGAGGAGUUGAGAUGAUAAGAACAGGACAAACAGACGGGUCAAAAACAUUAUACCCUCCACAACUUUGUUGCGUGGAGUAUAACUAGAUAACUUAGUUUAACCAAUGAGACAACUAUCCGCAAGAAACCAAAUGACGUAGAUGUAAGCAAUUAUAAAUCACCGUUCGACUUUCAACAAUCAGCAAAAAUUACAUCUAGAGGAGGGUUCUCUUGUUUGC
rnacentral:lncRNA from 1 species